rnacentral:rRNA from 1 species
AUUGAACGCUAGCGGGAUGCUUUACACAUGCACGUCGAACGAGUGGCGGACGGGUGAGUAAUAUAUCGGAACGUGCCCAGUAGCGGGGGAUAACUACUCGAAAGAGUGGCUAAUACCGCAUACUCUUGGAGCGGCCUAUAGCGGAUUAGCUAGUUGGUGGGGUAAAGGCUCACCAAGGCAACGAUCCGUAGCUGGUUUGAGAGGACGACCAGCCACACGGGGACUGGGCCACGUCCCAGAGUCCUACGGGAGGCAGCAGGGGGAAAUUUUGGACAAUGGGGGAAACCCUGAUACAGCCAUCCCGCGUGUAUGAGAAGGCCUUCGGGUUGUAAAGUACUUUUGGCAGAGAAGCGGUAUCUGCAGAAUAAGCACCGGCUAACUACGUGCCAGCCGCCGCGGUAAUAC